UCCCAAAUUCAUAGGAUAAUUAUCCUUGAUGCAAAAUACAUGGUUUAAUGUGACUGCAAUAUGUUGAGUUUUGAGUACAGAUUUGCAACCCUAAUUUUAGGAGAGCAAGAGUAAACACAAAGAGGAGAGA